rnacentral:lncRNA from 10 species
CCAGGGAUUGGAACCAAGUGCUUUAUCUUUACCAUAUACCAAUCCAUGAAUCAACUCCAAAACAGAUCUCUAGAAACAGACAAGACUGACUACUGCCUGAAGGUUUCUGACACCAAGUUCCUGAGAGGAAUACAUUCUCUUCUCCUUUGAUUGUUAUCUGGGAGAGAAUCAUUUGCAAGAAAAGAAUAACUUAUCAGAAAGGAGAAACUGCACAGAAGAUCCAAAGGCUCAACUGUUCCCAUGUGUACUGGGCUUCUGACUCAUUCUGGUUCUCAGGAAAGAGAGGCAAACCUCUGUUUCACAGCAAUUUUCAGAGGGAUUUGGGGGCUCUCGGGCUGCUAUGAGCCAGUGGCUGCUGUGUGCAUGCAGGAGGAGGUCAUCUUGCA